UACGUAGGUGGCAAGCGUUGUCCGGAAUUACUGGGUGUAAAGGGCGUGUAGGCGGGAAGGCAAGUCAGAUGUGAAAUUCCGGGGCUCAACCCCGGCGCUGCAUCUGAAACUGUCUUUCUUGAGUGCUGGAGAGGAAAGCGGAAUUCCUAGUGUAGCGGUGAAAUGCGUAGAUAUUAGGAGGAACACCAGUGGCGAAGGCGGCUUUCUGGACAGUAACUGACGCUGAGGCGCGAAAGCGUGGGGAGCAAAC
rnacentral:rRNA from 1 species